rnacentral:rRNA from 1 species
UACAGGGGGUGCAAACGUUGCUCGGAAUCAUUGGGCGUAAAGCGCACGUAGGCGGUUUGUUAUGUCGGAUGUGAAAGCCCUUGGCUCAACUGAGGAAGUGCAUCCGAAACUGGCAGCUAGAGUACUAAAGAGGGUCGCGGAAUUCCCGGUGUAGAGGUGAAAUUCGUAGAUAUCGGGAGGAACACCGGUGGCGAAGGCGGCGACCUGGGUAGAUACUGACGCUGAGGUGCGAAGGCGUGGGGAGCGAACGGGG